rnacentral:lncRNA from 1 species
CAGAAGCGCUGCAACUGUAGUCUGAAGUGUGUGGGUGGGCUCGUGUGUCCAUGAUGUAUACCUGUGAUAAAAGAGAACCUGUACCAGGCUCAAGAUAUCCUGAAGUCUAACUGCACUCUACAGCCUUCAGUUUUACAGGCAAAAGAAAAGAGCAAUUGAAACUGCUUCCCUGUGUAGAAUUCCUGUAAAGUCUGGGAAUUUGAUGCUGGAUGGAUUGUGGGGGACUUUAUAAAACUAGCUGUGAUGUGUGGGUUAAAAAUUCCCAGAAUUAUUUGGUUGAAGAUUGAUUGUAAACCGUAG